UCUCCGUUGGUGAACCAGCGGAGGGAUCAUUAUAGAGUUUACAAAACUCCCAAACCCCUGUGAACAUACCUACGUUGCCUCGGCAGGACCCCGCGUAUCCAACCCGGAACGACCCUACCCUGUAGGGGCGUACCCCCGGGGCGCGGGUAAGCCUGCCAGUGGACCGUUAAACUCUGUUUAUUAUUGAAAUCUGAAUCUAUAACUAAAUAAGUUAAAACUUUCAACAACGGAUCUCUUGGUUCUG
rnacentral:misc_RNA from 1 species